rnacentral:rRNA from 1 species
AUGGUGUGGCUGCAGUACACGGCGACCCGGCGGCAGCGCGCCGCCACGGCCGGCCUCUUCCUCACCGGGGCCGUCCUCAUCGCCGUCGCCGCCCGCCUCUCCUACGCCAACAUCGAGCCCUCGCGCGCCAAGGCCGCCCGGCGCCGCGAGGUCUUGGAGGCCUUCAUCGCCCGCAAGCGCGCAGCUGCGGCCGGAGCCGGAGGAGCAGACUCCCACCCCAGCCCGGAUCCCGCCAAGCCCUAG